rnacentral:lncRNA from 1 species
AAUAACUGGACAAUGAUGGUAUCAACAAUUAUCCCUGUGUGUGUGUGUGUGUGUGUGUGUGUGUGUGUGUGUGUGUGUGUGUGUGUGUGUGUGUGUGUGUGUGUGUGUGUGUGUGUGUGUGUGUGUGUGUGUGUGUGUGUGUGUGUGUGUGUGUGUAGGUACCUAGAGAGUUCGCAGAGUCAGGCCUGUCCCAGCAGGAUGUUUCCAGUAAGAUAUUACAAUAGUGUAGUAUAAUUCCAUAGAUCAUUCGUAUAAGGCUGGGGGACAUAGGGACCUGUGCUUGGUCAUCUUGCAGACAGUACACCCUCUCCAUCUCACGAUAGAUGUUAACUCUGUGUGUUCCUCCAGCUCGGUCUCCGCUGUCCCUGGAGGUCUCUGAUAGAGACCUGUCCCGGGAGGACUCCCCCCUGGACACACCCGAGAGCAGAGGGUCUCCUGUCCCCAGGUCUGUGUCCAAACUGAAGGACAUUCCAGAGGAGGGACUGCUGGAGAGAGACGCAGAGGACAUCCCCCUGGCUGAUUUAUUAGCAGAGCUACUGGGCGCAGUGACAGAGCCUCUUGAGGAUCAUGAAGGGGUGCUGUUCCACUCUCUGCUGCCCCCACUGGCCCAACGCAGUAGUGUCACUCACUCAUUCUGGACCCUACUGGAGAUGGUAACUGCCAGGAGACUCUGUGUGCAGCAGGAUGAACCUUAUGGUGACAUCAUCAUUUCACCUGGACCCAACUAUGAGGAGGGGAAUGAGAGUGUGUAAAACACACACACACACACACACACACACACACACACACACACACACACACACACACACACACACACACACACACACACACACACACACACACACACACACACACACACACACACACACACACACACACACACACACACACACACACACGAGAUACUGUUUAUUCAAAGAUGACUUUCAAAUAGAUCUCACACACAGAUAGUUUGAGUCUGGUAACUAAAAGAGACAACAGUUGAACUGUUCCUCUUUGCUAAUUGUAUUUUAGGUGCUUCAUUUUUGUGUGUUAUUUAGCAGACAGUCUUAUCCAGAGCAGCAAGUGUACUUGUCCCCAGUGGGAAUCAAACCCACAACCAUGGUGUUGCAAAUGCCAUGCUCUACCAACUGAGCUCACAGAACAUUUUGUAAAGGUUAAAGUUUUUAAAGUUUUAAAGCAGGUUUUGCUUUGUUGUUUUUUAUAUCAGUAGUCUCUUAUUAUAUUAUGUGACUAAAGACAGAAUUUUAUAUUCAAUAUCACAUUUCUCUUUUAAGCAUUUGAAAUGACUUUUCCACCAUUUGUAUUUCUGCAGUAUUUUAGUGUAAUCGUAGCCUGUGCUGACAUGUAAAGGGCUCCGUGUGUUUCAGUCGUGGUGGUUUUUACUUGUAACAGGUGUUUGUUUCUGUGAAUAAACAUGUCAAAC